ensembl:lncRNA
AGGGGACUGAGGGAGGACAAUGGGGGCUAAAGUCUGUGAGGGAAGGGGCUGAUGGAAUGCAAUAGGGGCUGAGCUUCAUGAGGGAGGGGGCUGAGGGAAGAGACUGAGGGAAAGCAAUGGGGAUUGAGCUCUGUGAGGGAAGGGGCUGUGGAGAAUAAGGCUGAGGUCUGUGAGGGAAGGGGCUGAGGGAGAGCAAUGGGAGCUGAGCUCCAUGAGGGAAGGGGCUGAGGGAAGGGAUUGAGAUCUGUGAGGGAAGGGGCUGAGGGAAGGGAUUGAGGUCUGUGAGGGAAGGGGCUGAGGGAAGGGAUUGAGAUCUAUGAGGGAAGGGGCUGAGGGACAGCAAUGGCGACAGCUGUGUGAGGGAAGGGGCUGAGGGACAGCAAUGGCGACAGCUGUGUGAGGGAAGGGGCUGAGGGACGGCAGAGGAACGUCGCCGCGCCGCGCCGCGCUGACCCGCGGGAAGAGGAAAGCCGCGGGCGCGGCCGCGCUGUCUUUCCGGUUCAGUUUUCACUUUCUGUUUUUUU